UAGGGAAUCUUCCACAAUGGGCGCAAGCCUGAUGGAGCAACACCGCGUGAGUGAAGAAGGGUUUCGGCUCGUAAAACUCUGUUGUUGAAGAAGAACGUGCGUGAGAGUAACUGUUCACGUAGUGACGGUAUUCAACCAGAAAGUCACGGCUAACUACGUGCCAGCAGCCGCGGUAAUACGUAGGUGGCAAGCGUUAUCCGGAUUUAUUGGGCGUAAAGCGAGCGCAGGCGGUUUUCUAAGUCUGAUGUGAAAGCCUUCGGCUUAACCGGAGAAGUGCAUCGGAAACUGGAUAACUUGAGUGCAAGAGAGGACAGUGGAACUCCAUGUGUAGCGGUGGAAUGCGUAGAUAUAUGGAAGAACACCAGUGGCGAAGGCGGCUGUCUAGCUUGCAACUGACGCUGAGGCUCGAAAGCAUGGGUAGCGAACA
rnacentral:rRNA from 1 species